rnacentral:lncRNA from 1 species
AAAAAUUGGAACGACCUGGAGCAGCCAGCAGAGUGACAAAUGAGGAAGAGGACAGAAUCCAGCUGAAGAAGCUCCGGAAGAUACCAUUUGAAGUCUGAGUGCUUGAACUCGCAAAGAAAGCACAGGAGGCCCCAUGAAUUCUGUGGAAAACUGUUUCUCUGGGGACCAUCUAGACCUUUACAGACUGAAUGCAGCAAAGAAGAAUUUACUAUAAGAAUGUGUCCUUGUGAGUUGGACCAGAGUACAAAAUAUUACCAUGAAACUCAGCUGAACUAUUUGAUUCACUGGGCAAUAUUUAGGGGAAGAACCAAUUCCAAGCUGGCCUUGCCACCUCUGUGCGUUUCUUCAAGCUGA